AUUGAACGCUGGCGGCAGGCUUAACACAUGCAAGUCGAGCGGGGUGAUGGUGCUUGCACUAUCACUUAGCGGCGGACGGGUGAGUAAUGCUUAGGCAUCUGCCUAUUAGUGGGGGACAACAUCUCGAAAGGGAUGCUAAUACCGUAUACGUCCUACGGGAGAAAGCAGGGGAUCACUUGUGACCUUGCGCUAAUAGAGGAGCUUAGGUCGGAUUAGCUAGUUGGUGGGGUAAAGGCCUACCAAGGCGACGAUCUGUAGCGGGUCUGAGAGGAUGAUCCGCCACACUGGGACUGAGACACGGCCCAGACUCCUACGGGAGGCAGCAGUGGGGAAUAUUGGACAAUGGGGGGAACCCUGAUCCAGCCAUGCCGCGUGUGUGAAGAAGGCCUUAUGGUUGUAAAGCACUUUAAGCGAGGAGGAGGCUCUUUUGGUUAAUACCCAAGAUGAGUGGACGUUACUCGCAGAAUAAGCACCGGCUAACUCUGUGCCAGCCGCCGCGGUAA
rnacentral:rRNA from 1 species